GGACAGAGACGGAGGACCAUUUUGACUCAGACCAGAAGGCAUUGGGCGUGAUGGGGCUGGUGCAGAGAGACACGUCCCUGUUCCUCAGAGACCUCCGCCUGGGCGCCUCCUCAUGGCUCAACUCCUUCCUGGAGUUAAGUGGGCGCAAGCCCCAUAAGACCCCAUUGCCCGCAACAGGUGAGUUAGAGCUUGCUCUGAGGCACCUAGCCAAGACAGCCUACACAGACACCUAGACACAUGAGGCCACAGCGUACCUGCCUGGCUGACUCUGUCCUUGGUCCUACAACAAGCCCUUAGUUUUCCACAGCAGACCACAUCCUGCUUCCCCAAGCCAUCUCACAAUCGCUUUGCCU
rnacentral:lncRNA from 1 species